rnacentral:rRNA from 1 species
CUUUUUUUUUUUGCGGUGACACNCAGAUCAAUACAACUUUCAACAACGGAUCUCUUGGCUCUCGCAUCGAUGAAGAACGUAGCGAAAUGCGAUACGUAAUGUGAAUUGCAGAAUUCAGUGAAUCAUCGAAUCUUUGAACGCACCUUGCGCCCCUUGGCAUUCCGAGGGGCACACCCGUUUGAGUGUCGUGAAAUCUUCAAAACCU